rnacentral:other from 1 species
GCUUUCCUGCGGUGUUCGUAACGGCUCAGAUUCUUUGAACCGAUAAGCUGUAUAGCAUGUCCGCCGGGUCUCCCGACGCCUGUUGUGAGCGCUCUCGCUGUUUCGGCAGUUGACGAACGCACCUGAUGGCAUCGACCUGGUGGCAACUUGAACCAUUGGGUUCAAGAUGCGAGUCGGUACGGCAUUCGCGGGAAGCCC